GCGGAAUUGAUUAGUUGAUCCUGGCUCAGAUUGAACGCUGGCGGCAGGCCUAACACAUGCAAGUCGAGCGGUAACAGGGGAAGCUUGCUUCCCGCUGACGAGCGGCGGACGGGUGAGUAAUAUAUGGGGACUGCCGAUAGAGGGGGAUAACUACUGGAAACGGUGGCUAAUACCGCAUAAUCUCUAAGGAGCAAAGCAGGGGAACUUCGGUCCUUGCGCUAUCGGAUGAACCCAUAUGGGAUUAGCUAGUAGGUGGGUAAGGCUCACCUAGGCGACGAUCCCUAGCUGGUCUGAGAGGAUGAUCAGCCACACUGGAACUGAGACACGGUCCAGACUCCUACGGGAGGCAGCAGUGGGGAAUAUUGGACAAUGGGCGCAAGCCUGUCAGCCAUACCGCGUGGGUGAAGAAGGCCUUCGGGUUGUAAAGCCCUUUUGUUGGGAAAGAAAUCCAGCUGGCUAAUACCCGGUUGGGAUGACGGUACCCAAAGAAUAAGCACCGGCUAACUUCGUGCGCAGCCGCGGUAAUACGAAGGGUGCAAGCGUUACUCGGAAUUACUGGGCGUAAAGCGUGCGUAGGUGGUCGUUUAAGUCCGUUGUGAAAGCCCUGGGCUCAACCUGGGAACUGCAGUGGAUACUGGGACUAGAGUGUGGUAGAGGGUAGCGGAAUUCCUGGUGUAGCAGUGAAAUGCGUAGAGAUCAGGAGGAACAUCCAUGGCGAAGGCAGCUACCUGGACCAACACUGACACUGAGCACGAAAGGCCUGGC
rnacentral:rRNA from 1 species